rnacentral:misc_RNA from 1 species
CUUUCCUCUGACACAACGGGCCGCAACACUUUCCUCUCCACUCUCAUAUUCCUGGUGCCUCCUCCCUCCAUUUUUAGGCCUAGGGUUUCGGUUUUCUUAUUUUUUUCCCAUUUUAUGUUUUGCAUCUCUGCUUAUUUGGGUUUGUGUCAUUUCUUCAGCACAGGUUACAGUUCUCUUCAUUUUUUCUCUUAAACCACUGAUCAAUCAUUAUCCUACCCUCCACCCCUACAACUCAUUACAUGCAUAAUGAGAAAUUUCAACAGUAGCAUCUAAAUUUUGGUUUGCGAGUUCAAUUGAGAAGAGAGCAUUUCCUGGUGCUUCCUUCAUCUCGUGGUUGAUUGAAAUUGGAGAAGGAAGCUGAACACGGUGGAAAAGCAUAGAAAGAAAUGUCUAGUCAGCAGCAGGAAAGAGAAAAGGAUGUGCAAAGCACAAAUCCCCAUGGUUUGAGAGAAAUGGUAGAAGAACAGUACAAAAAAAUCAGAGAGAAUGCAGAAACUUAUCCAUAUGUAUGGGCAUCAUAUAUUGUAGUAUACGGUGGUUUUGCCUUGUGGACUACCUAUAGGUGGAGAAAACUUCGAAAGACUGAGGACAGAGUACGAGCUCUUCAAGAAAGACUCCGCAAACUUGUUGAUUCUCAGGACUCUGCAACUUCAUCAACUCUUGAAAAGGCUCCUCCUUCUAUUGAUAAAUCCAAAUGCCCCAAAUAGCUCAUCUGUCCUUGCCAUUUCCUCUAAGAAACAAGUGUCUUAAAGUCUGAAUGUAAAUCUCCUCUCCCAAAUAGCUCAUCUACUUCAAUAUUUUCCUUUCAGAUACUAGAGAAGUGUUCAAGCUGUUAUCAAAUUUACAGCUUUUGGCCCUUCAUGCGGUAGAGCAAAAUCUGUAGUUAACUAGAUUAGUGAGUUAUUUAGGUUUUAUUGUUUCAGUUAUUGAUGGCAUUGUGAUUUCUAUUUUUUUUUUUUGCAAAAUUUUCUUUUUGUUACUCACC